GUUCGCAGGUGCUUGAUGAGGUUGCGCUGGAGAUUUCCCUAAAACCAUCCCGAAUCCAUCUCGGAAACGUCCGCCGGGGCCGCGGCGACGCGGGGAGACUCGGCAGCAGCCGUCCCGUCCCGUCGAGCGGUUCCCAGUUCCAGCCCCGUUCCUGCUCGCCGAUCCAAAGCGAGAGAGGGGAGCCGCGCCGGGGCCGUCCCGCCGCAACGCGUUUCGCACCCGUCGGCGAGGCCGGCGGAGCCGAUCGAUCCGCGUCUGGAAUUUCCCACGUGCUGCCAGGAUCAGCUUUCUCUUAGCGCGGCUACGGCGGCGCAGCGGAUCGCGUUAGCGGGGACGAACGCCGAGCCUCUCGGCCGGGACCGAAUUUGAGCGCGGCGACGCCACCGGCCUCGGCCCUCGAGAAGCUGCUUUC